GUCCUCCUCUCCUUCCACCAACGAAAGCCGUUACAUUUAUGGAAAAACAAGGUGCACAGUUGGGUGCUAGACUGAUACCCUUGUCAUGAUUGGAUGCCAGGACCUACCAGAAGGAGCAAAGCUUGUCAGGCAAGACCUCAGAAUAAAAGUACAUCAUGUGACACCUCCUCAGUUGUUGCCUGUCACGAACCGGCUCAAAGCCCGUAACAAAAGGGAGACAACGUGGA